rnacentral:rRNA from 1 species
GACAGAGGUGCCGAGCGUUAAUCGGAAUUACUGGGCGUAAAGCGUGCGCAGGCGGUUUGUUAAGUCUGUUGUGAAAUCCCCGAGCUCAACUUGGGAAUUGCAAUGGAUACUGGCAGGCUGGAGUAUGGUAGAGGAAGGUGGAAUUCCCGGUGUAGCAGUGAAAUGCGUAGAGAUCGGGAGGAACACCAGUGGCGAAGGCGGCCUUCUGGACCAAUACUGACGCUGAGGCGCGAAAGCUAGGGGAGCAAACGGG